GGUGAGGUGGCCGAGUGGUCGAAGGCGCACGCUUGGAAAGCGUGUAGAGUGGAAACAUUCUCCAGGGUUCGAAUCCCUGUCUCACCG
rnacentral:tRNA from 1 species